GUGAGGAAUUUUCCGCAAUGGGCGAAAGCCUGACGGAGCAAUGCCGCGUGAAGGAUGAAGGCCUAUGGGUUGUAAACUUCUUUUCUCAGAAAAGAAUUAUGACGGUAUCUGAGGAAUAAGCAUCGGCUAACUCUGUGCCAGCAGCCGCGGUAAGACAGAGGAUGCAAGCGUUAUCCGGAAUGAUUGGGCGUAAAGCGUCUGUAGGUUGUUUAAAAAGUAUUCUGUCAAAGAUUAGGGCUUAACCCUAGAUAGGCAGAAUAAACGUUUAAGCUAGAGUUUGGUAGAGGCAGGGAAUUCCCGGUGGAGCGGUGAAAUGCGUAGAUAUCGGGAGGAACACCAAAGGCGAAGGCACUCUGCUGGGCCAAUACUAACACUGAGAGACGAAAGCGAGGGGAGCAAAUGGGAUUAGAAACCCGUGUAGUCC
rnacentral:rRNA from 1 species